UUGAAAAGAUGCUUUCUGGUAGAGAGAAGCCUAGUCCAGUUGAUAUUGAGAAUGCGAAACGGGCUCUUCAUGAGCAAGAAAGAGCUAUACUUGAAGCACUCGGUAAACUUGGUAAACUGGGAGACGUGUUCGACAGGGAUGAAAGGAUUCUGCGAAAUCUCCAAUCGAGGGCAAGAAAUGAUGCCGGUCCAUGGUAGUUUCAGUAGGACUAAUUGGUAGUAGGUUGAAUGGACUUUGGGAAUUUCCAGAUGGUGCUUACUUUAGUUACUGAAUCCAAUUAUGGAGGUAUAUGAUGCUUAAGGUAGUAGGGGACUGAUGCAAGCUGAACACUUUGAUAUGACUUGUUUCAAUACUUUUUGAGUUAUACUCCUGCUAACCAUUUUGGUUAAAUGUAAAGUUUAAAGGA